rnacentral:rRNA from 1 species
AUUGAACGCUGGCGGCAUGCCUUACACAUGCAAGUCGAACGGUAACAGGUCUUCGGAUGCUGACGAGUGGCGAACGGGUGAGUAAUACAUCGGAACGUGCCUAGUAGUGGGGGAUAACUACUCGAAAGAGUGGCUAAUACCGCAUGAGAUCUACGGAUGAAAGCAGGGGAUCGCAAGACCUUGUGCUACUAGAGCGGCCGAUGGCAGAUUAGGUAGUUGGUGGGAUAAAAGCUUACCAAGCCGACGUUCUGUAGCUGGUCUGAGAGGACGAUCAGCCAGACUGGGACUGGGAAACGGCCCAGACUCCAACGGGAGGCAGCAGUGGGGAAUUUUGGACAAUGGGCGAAAGCCUGAUCCAGCAAUGCCGCGUGCAGGAUGAAGGCCUUCGGGUUGUAAACUGCUUUUGUACGGAACGAAAAGCCCCGGGUUAAUACCCUGGGGUCAUGACGGUACCGUAAGAAUAAGCACCGGCUAACUACGUGCCAGCAGCCGCCGUAA